GAAAAAGCGUGGCAAAGUAUUGCAGACCGCCUGAAUGCGUAAGUAGUGCACAAUUACACACUCACCGCUCCGCUGAAACAUCACAAUUACAAUUCAAAUAUUUAAUUCACAUCUCCAAAAAUGCAGUUGUACUGUAAUUAUGAAACGGUUAAAUUUUUAAUUGAAAUGCACUGCAGAUAUGAGUGAAAUUGUGUAAAGUAACUCCAUCACACUGUAUAAAGCUAUGAUACAUUUUUUGAUAUUUUUACUGAAAACAAGACAAAAAUACCAAGUAAUUUUUUGCAGUGUGACUCCAUUAAAUGUGUGUGUGUGUGUGUGUGUGUAGAUUAAACAUGAACGGGCCAAAACGGACAUGGCAGCAGGUCAAAAUCAAAUACAAGAACAUUCUGCAGAAUGCAGUGAAAAAGAAUACCCACAGACAAGGCACGGGUGGUGGGUCACCAAAGGCUGACCUUACCCCAGCAGAGGACAUGGCCUUGGAGCUAAAUAAAGGCAGGCCCGUCUUAGAGGGGAUCCCUGGGGGGAAAGAGACGAGCAUAGGUUCCUCCCAAGAUGCCACCAGCUUCAUUCAAGUGCCUGGCAGCACUGUGUUCCUGUUAGAGCCACCAGCACAAGCACCAGACGAUGCUGAUCCAGGUGAAGGCCCCAGUGCAGCAGCAACAGCACAUGAUGGAGACGAUGAUGAGGAGGAGACCAUCUCUCUGGAUUCCAGAAGGCAUGAGGACCCAGAUGCUAUACAGUGGGAAAACCAGCCUGGCAACAUAAGCUCACAAGCUAUCAGAAAGUUGUAUGGCAACCACCUCCGGCGCCAAAUAGAACUGGCAGACAUAGACAUUCAGUACAAGAAGAAAAAGAUGGAAAAUCUUGCACUGGAGUCCGAAAUAAAAAAGAGGACAAUUAGGAAACUGGACCUUGAAAUAAAAAAACUUGAGAGGGAGGUGAGAUAUGCCUUCAAUGUACACUGUAUGCUAACUGUAACACAAAUGUAUUAAUCAUUAUUUUUCUUUCCUCCCCCAGCUCCAAGAAGAUGACACAGCUCAAAAUAAAAAUUAGCAAUCAGUACAACCAAGUCAUCGUUAUAAGGCAUCGCCCUCUUUUGCCCACCCCCCAGCACCAGGUGUGGCCACUAGCCUAUAUGAAGGCCCAAAAUUGUGUGUUCCUUUCUGCUCUGACAAUGGCAUGCCCAUUCGUGCGAGAUGUGGUGGAUGAAGAAGCACUUGUGCUGAGGAGAGCCUUCAGGCGAGAAAGGGUCUUCAGGGACCGGUUGGACCCACUGGCCUUCCCUGAUGACCAUCUAUAUGAAAGAUACAGGUUUUCUGCAGAUGGCAUCAGGUAUCUAUGCAGACUACUGGGUCCCAGGAUUAAGCACCGCACUGCACGGAGCCAUGCACUGAGUGUGGAGCAAAUGGUUUGUGUGGCCUUGCACUUUUUUGCUAGUGGAGCCUUCCUGUACUCAGUGGGGAUGCAGAACAGCUGAACAAGGCCACAAUUUGCCGCACAAUAAGGAGUGUGUGUCUGGCUAUCAAAGCAUUAGCAGAUGUCUUCAUCUCCUUCCCUGGCCACAGAAGACUCUGUGACAUCAAAGAGGAGUUCUAUAGGAUUGCAGAUGGUCUGCAAUGCUGACUGUGUGAUCAGCAAUGUUGUGGCAAAAUGGCCUGGCUCAGUCCAUGACUCCAGAAUCUUUCGGGCCUCUGAAAUCUAUCAGUGCCUAUCACAAGGUGAAUUCUCUGGUGUGUUGCUGGGAGACAGGGGUAUGGCUGCCAGCCUUUUCUCCUGACACCUUUCACAGACCCCCAGGAAGCACAGCAGGCCUACAACCAUGCCCAUGCCAGGACCAGGGCCAGAGUUGAAAUGACCUUUGGCCUCCUGAAGGCACGCUUUCACUGCCUUCACAAAUUAAGGGUCAGCCCUGUUAGGGCAUGUGAUAUUACUGUGGCUUGUGCUGUCCUCCACAAUGUGGCCUGCCUGAGGAAGGAGAGGGCCCCCAGAGUGCCACCAGUCAUGGACUGGGACAAUCCGGCAAUCUUCCCUGAUGACGACAGUGGUCGGCUGCUGAGGGACCAAUAUGUGUUGAAUUAUUUUAGUUAGUAUGUGUGCUUUCAAUUUUGGUUAAAUAUGUCCUGCGGUGGCAGAGGAAUUUGGGUUUUUUUGGGUUCGUUUUUGACGAAUUUGGCCUCUUAUGAUGUUUGUGCGGUAUACUGUGUGUAAUACAAGGCUGCAGGGAGGCUACUGCAUCCAUUCAUUUGUCUGUUCAGUUGAUGUGUAUGGAUUUGUCCUGCAUUUAUUUUAGUGUGCAGACAUGCAGGGUGUGUUAUAUACAGACCUUUGAAUGUGUAUGUAUCAUUUUGUAUAAUAUGCUUGGAUUCUGUGCUUUCCAUCUUGUAGAGUCACUGUGACUUCAGUUUCGAAAGGAGCUGAUGGUUUACCUGCUUUGUUUUGUCCUUAUUCAAUAAAGGAACAUAAUGUUACACAUUGUGUUUUUAUAUUCA